rnacentral:misc_RNA from 1 species
AACGAGGCCGACCUGCGGCUGAGUUACCUGCGGAAGGAUCAUUAAAAAACUUUGCCCGCGGACCCUGGGUCCAAGGCGCAAUACCCACACUAUGUGCACUGUUAUCGUUCUUUUGGCAGGGGCUUGGGGUGUCUUCCAACUUGGAACCUCAACUUCUCGUCUAGCUCUAUCCACCUCGGACAGCUGGACAUGAGAAGCAGUUACUCUGCCAAGUGACCCUUAAAAACACGCUUUUUUGUC